GGGGUAACGGCUGCGUCCCUGGAGAGGGUGGGACACUGGGGCAAGGACCAGAGAAGGCCCAGGCAGAGGACAGGGCCAUGCCAGUUAGGGCACACUGGGACAGUCACUGCCAGCGAGAGGGUCCAGGGGCACCUGCUGCCCCACCACAGGGAGCUUACGCCUGCGGGUCAGCCAGAGGUGAUCCUGAGGGCAGAUGAGGCCCAGGAUAAGCCAGGUGGGCCACGAGGCCCACAGGGGGCAGAGUCCUGCCCUCAGGCAGCGCUGGCCUCUGGUGCUGCUGGGCCUGGCUGUGAGCACCCGUGGCCUGCUGCUCCCAACAGCAACAGCUCAGAGCAGUGCCCCAGACCCUGGGGCCCCGACAAGAAGCAGCCCUUGGAGCCCGCAGGACAGGUUCCUACUCCAGGCUGGCCCCCGAGGGGCAGUUCCCAGGUGCUGGCCCGGCAGGUUUGGGCCCAAUUCUCAGCCACCGUGGUAUAUCUUCAGCAAUGGGACCCAGCUCACCGUCCUAGGUCAGCCCAAGUCAGCACCCUUGGUCACUCUGUUCCCGCCCUCCUCUAAGGAGCUCAGCACCAACAAGGCCACACUGGUGUGUCUCAUCAGUGACUUCUACCCCAGUGGCUUGACUGUGGCCUGGAAGGCAGACGGCACGCCCGUCACCCAGGGUGUGGAGACCACCAAGCCCUGGAAACAGAGCAACAACAAGUACGCGGCCAGCAGCUACCUGAGCCUGACGGCCGACAAGUGGAAAUCUAGCAGCAGAUACAGCUGCCAGGUCACACACGAUGGGAAAACCGUGGAGAAGAUGGUGAACCCCUCAGUGUGUUCUUAGGAUGCUGAGCACCCCCACCUUCAGGGGGCUGGAGCUGCAGGACCUCUGAGAGGUUCUCCUUUCUCACCCUAGUCUUCCCCAGCCCUGCUCCCUGCACUCAAUCAAUUCUCAAUAAAAUAUCCUCAUUGUCAA